rnacentral:misc_RNA from 1 species
GGUGAAGGUUUGAAGAAAGGCACACGAGUAGGAGGGGGAGCAUUGCGGGAAGUUGCAGCUUACAUAUUGGAUCAUCCAAAGAGUGGGCCACGCUUAUUUUUGGAUGAUCAGAAGGGUUUUGCUGGUGUUCCACCCACAGUAAUGAUCAAGUGCUUGCACAAAGGUUUCAACCAUCCAGGAGGUUAUGAAUGUGCUACAAAGAAUAUAAAGAUUGGUUCAUUACAGAUGUUUGUGGAAAAUGAUGGAAGUUGUGAGGAUAUGGGCCCUCGUGCUUUCCCUGUGGAUGAGGUACACAAAAUCUCAGUCUUGGAUAUAAGGUUGGCAAAUGCUGAUAGGCAUGCUGGGAAUAUACUGGUAAGCAAAGAUGGUGAGAAAGGGCGAAAUGUGCUCAUUCCAAUUGAUCAUGGUUACUGCUUGCCUGAUAAUGUAAGUUUUAAUUUCCAUCUCUGUAUAUUUGUUAUAUGUCUUUUCGGUUUUAAUUAUGUUAUUCUCUUAGUUUUAUUAUACUAAUCAGUAUUGUUUGUGUAUUUUUUAAUGCUUCUUAACUCGUGUUCUUUCUUUGGUCCCUUUAGUAGGGACACAAAGUUUUGGCUUAACCCAUUUUGACAAUUUGGUUCAUUGUUUUGAGCAAGCUUAUUCAAGCAAAAUAUGAUACUUUCACAGGUCGUUUGUACUAAGUUAUCUUCCUUCCCUGUAGAAAAAGAAAAAGAAACACACUGAAGCAAUAAAGCAAGAUGUUAGUUUGUCCAUAAAUAUGCAUGAGAAAUUUCUGGCAUUGUGAGAUGAUCUACUUUUCCUUGCGCUGGCCGUAUAAUUGUCUUUUCUCUACUUGAGUGGAUGUCCUUGUAUUGCUUUUUGGACAAAGCUUUUUUAUUUUCUCCCUUUAUUAUAGAACUAGUAUCAUAUGAUAAGGCUGUAUAUGUUUGCUUUUUCUGUUGUUUGCCAUUUUCUGGAUUCUAUUUUUAAUUUUUCCAAUUAGUCAUUUGCAGUGUUUCUACCCAUUUGGAAAACCUUGUGAAUCAUUUGACUUCCUGUCCUGCUAAUAACAACAGUUGCCACUGACAUUAAUUUUUGUAAGCAUAGGAGCCUUUUUCCAUAGUCUUGCCAAGCAAGACUUGACUUUGAUUUGCAAACAAUUUUAGCUUAUUAUUUAUGUUCUAUGGUAUAUUUUCUUAUGGUAGCAUUGGAAGUUCUUUCGCUAGGACAUGGAUUUAUGGCUGUCGUUUCUUCUCACAUUUACUGCUUUGUGUCUGCAGUUUGAAGACUGCACUUUUGACUGGCUUUACUGGCCUCAAGCUCAGGAACCUUAUUCACCUGACACUGUUGACUAUAUCAAAGCACUUGAUGCUGAGCACGAUAUAGCACUUGUGAAGUUUCAUGGAUGGGACAUGCCGCUUGAGUGUGCUCGCACCCUUCGCAUUUCUACUAUGCUUCUGAAGAAAGGAGUAGAGAGAGGACUUACUCCCUUUGCCAUUGGAAGCAUAAUGUGUAGGGAAACAGUUAAGAAGGAAUCUGUGAUUGAGCAGAUUGUUCAAGAAGCCCGGGAUGCUGUGCUCACGGGAAGUAGCGAAGCUGCAUUUCUUGAAGCUGUAUCAUCAAUUAUGGAUCGCCAUCUUGAUGAGCUAUCCCAGUAAGCCUCCAGUAAAAUUCUGUAGAUAUAUAAUAUGUGUGGAAUUGUCGUCAUGCUCGUGUAUGGGUUAUAGAAGAUAACAUAUUGUAUUCGUGUUUUGAUGGUAUUGCUAUUGGGUUCUGUGCAAUCUUGAUUGGUGUUUGGAACUUGUAAUCCCAUCAACGGACUCAUCUUGUUGAUGCAUCUGAACUUGUCUGUCCUUUCCUGUUUUACAUGGAAAUGGCAUUUUAAGGAGU